UUUCUCUCGGCCGCUGCUGCCGCCAUCUUGACGGCUGCUGGUGGCCGCCGCCAUCCGCUUCCAUCCGCCGCCAGCGGCGCCGCACCAAGACUAAGCGCGGCGCGAGCGCGCCGCCAUGAGGGCCAAGUGGCGCAAGAAGCGAAUGCGCAGGCUGAAGCGCAAGAGGAGGAAGAUGCGACAGAGGUCCAAGUAGUGCUGGGACCGGACCGUGCCGCGCGUGGAAGAGCGAGGAGCCGCCCCAGCGCCGCGGGGCCGUGGUGGGGUCCCGUCCCGCCGCACCGGGCCGGGCUCUGUAGCGCCGCCAAUAAAGUUGGAGAUGUUUUCGGA